GGAGAAUUCUCACAACUCAGGAAUUAGUGGACAGUGCUCUGUCCAGUGCUAGACAGGACCAGUUUCAAGUGCCAAGAAAUGAAGGAAAAAAGAUGCCCAUCUUUUUCACCGAGCUCUUUGUUCAAGGCUCUACAAAAUGAGAUCCUUACGUGCACCCACUGGAAGGCCAAUGGGAAGAACCAGCUUGCCCGAGCAGAGUGGUGCUGGUUGAAGUCCUCCUCAUCGGCGUAGAUGUCAACGAGGCUCCGGAAAGAUGAUCUCGCAGCCAGAGAAGGGAAAAGGAAGAAAGACGCCACGGGAAUAUGGCGGCGGCGAUGGGCGAGUCCAGACUAGGCCCUCAGGUCCUCCAGUCCUAAUGAGGUAUAACACAUCCAGUACAAUAAAUCCAUUGAGCAGCCUGUCGAUGGAUGACCCUGUGGGCAAGAGUAGGAAGGCCACACUCCUGCUGGGAAGUCCUUUCUCGGGCUGGCCGGUGGAAAACUUUGUGAUCACCUUCAGCUACAAGGAUACUCUGAGCUUUAAUGAACCCCUUCAUUUGAGGACAUUGGAUCUUAGAGCAGCCGCUCUCUUGGGUUUCUGCACCACAAUGAAAGAAAACAAGCCAAAACAGAAGCACCUGAGGCAAGGCUUCAUUGUGGGAGGGAACUGUCAGGCUACCUCAAACAAUGGCGAG
rnacentral:lncRNA from 1 species